rnacentral:rRNA from 1 species
GACGAACGCUGGCGGCGUGCUUAACACAUGCCAGUCGAACGGAAAGGCCCUGCUUUUGUGGGGUGCUCGAGUGGCGAACGGGUGAGUAACACGUGAGUAACCUGCCCUUGACUUUGGGAUAACUUCAGGAAACUGGGGCUAAUACCGGAUAGGAGCUCCUGCUGCAUGGUGGGGGUUGGAAAGUUUCGGCGGUUGGGGAUGGACUCGCGGCUUAUCAGCUUGUUGGUGGGGUAGUGGCUUACCAAGGCUUUGACGGGUAGCCGGCCUGAGAGGGUGACCGGCCACAUUGGGACUGAGAUACGGCCCAGACUCCUCCGGGAGGCAGCAGUGGGGAAUAUUGCACAAUGGGCGGAAGCCUGAUGCAGCAACGCCGCGUGCGGGAUGACGGCCUUCGGGUUGUAAACCGCUUUCGCCUGUGACGAAGCGUGAGUGACGGUAAUGGGUAAAGAAGCACCGGCUAACUACGUG